AAAAUCAAAGGAAGCACAAUUUGUAGAAACCUGUAUUUGUUCUCUUUUCUGUUUGAACACCUCUACAGAAUAUAUAUGAUAAUAUUAAAAAUUUCUUUGCUGAUUCUUAGCAGAUUUUUAUUUUGGCUAAGUUAAUCAGUAGUUGCACAGUUCAGAGUAAGGUCAUUGCUUUCUCAGUCCUCAGUGCUGCAUGAUUAUUCAUAGGUCAGAAGAAGAAUGCAGAUACAGACAAGCAUAUCUACUCUGACCUACAUGAUAUAAAUACUAUCUUCACAGUCAUAUGAACUAAUCCUGGUAUCGUUUCCCCUUCUGUUUGUUAAUACUCUGAUGUUAAAGUAUAAGCCCUCAUGCCAACAUAAGAAAGAGACAAGAAACAGUCUAAAAUCUCAAAAAAUCUUUUACCAAAUGUAGAAAUGUGAUUCACAAAGUGUUAUAUAUGAUAAAUAGUUAUUAGGUAACUUUUAUUCGGUAUUUUUUAUUAAGUAAAAAGAUGCUGACCUGGGCUGACUCCUAGAGCCCCACCCAGCUGUUCUGUCACUGCCUCUCCUCAGCAGGACAGGGGCAAAAGAGGAUGGAAAAGUUCAUGGGUUGAGGCAAAGAGAGGGAGAUCACUUACCAGCUACCAUCUUGGACAAAACAGACUCAACCUGGGGAAAAUUAGUUUCAUCUAUUAACAAUUGAAAACAGAGUUGGAAGGUGACAAAGACCAAAACUGCUGGGCCUAACCAUGCCCUGUGGUGGAGCUGUUGGAGCCAGCUGGAACCAGCUGGGGCCAGCACAGGGCAGCCCUGCCAUUGCCCUGCACUGACAGCAACACAGACCCACGGGUGCCCAGUACAGAGGUGUGAGGUUCUGAUUGCCAAGAUUAAAAGGAAUAAGCAGUUAUCUAUUACAAUGAAGUCUAACUCCAAGGAAUUCCAUCAAACUAAGGUGAUUUACAUCAGCCCGUGGUAUGACCCAGAGCCUUUCUUCUUAGCUAUAAGGUAGUUUUAUUCAAACUCAAAUUUAUUUUUUUUAAGAUUUUGAAUUAUCCUGCAUUUACUGAAUAGUGGGAAUCUUACCAUUUAAAAUAUAAUUUUAAUUUAAAAUAAGAGCUGAUCUGUUUUAUAGAUCUCUAAACUAUUACAUACUUUUGCUGUUCUCAGUUUUAAAAUCAAGAUCACUCUCUGUAUUGGAGAUUAUUAAAUGCAUAUCAGCUGAUGAUAGUUAUGUAAUUCAUCUGAAAACAGCAAUAAAUAAAAUAUAACCAAAAGCA
rnacentral:lncRNA from 1 species